CGAUGGACAGAUCGCUGGGAGGCCACAAGUUCGUCGGCUUUAGCUUUCGGACUUGCUACUUGCUAACCGUCGGAGUUGACCGAAGGGAUACAGGGGCAUUCCGGGGAGAGCUCGCGAUUUAGUUGGAAUUCUGAAGCAAUCUGAAGUGCAAAUUUCUCGAGUGGCGAACCAGCGCGUGCUCCGUGAGGCCAAAGAUUGACGCGGCCUUAGGUUUGGGAGUUUAUUACGGAGUAAUUCGGAAGAAAACACGACUUCUCCACGCCCAACUGUAUCGUCCCGGGCCUAAUCUCUCCUCCAAUCAAGCUCGAUGCGGCCACUUUUCCGCAUCCAGGAGAAUCCUGGAUCCUCUUGAGCUCAAGCACGAAGGCCUUCAGCUCACCAGGAAUUAAACCUCACCCAGAUGCAUCCUCCGAUCUAUAGUCAUGCUACCUCUCCGACUUAGACACUGAAGCCAAUUAAAGGAAUGUACAUGUAGUUGAAAUCUCACGGAAAGUUUCUGCUGGAAAUGGCUAUGAGAAAUGAUAUAUGGGAGAAGAAGCUACAGGAUCCAAGUGCGAUACCAAUGUUUCUGCCAUUAGAAUUUUUGAAAGCCAUCACUGGUGAUUUUUCCACAGAGCAAGAACUCGGAAGAGGUGGGUAUGGAGUGGUUUACAAGGGCAUUCUUCGGAGUGGGAAAAGUAUUGCUGUGAAGAAACUUUUUGACUUACAUGUGCUGGAAGAUAAUAAAUUCCAGAGAGAGGUCAGUUAUCUUAUGGGGAUCAAGCACCGAAACGUAGUGCAAUUUGUUGGUUACUGUGCCGAAUCAAGUUGGGAAGCCAUAAAACUGGAAGGAAGUGGGAAUUAUAUUUUCGCUGAAAUACCAAAAAGAUUGCUCUGCUUUGAGCAUGUACCUAAUAAAAGCCUUGACAAGUAUAUCUCUGAUGAGUCAUCAGGCCUUGACUGGAACAUGAGAUACAAAAUAAUUAGGGGGAUUUGUGGUGGUUUGCAUUACCUUCAUGAGGAAUGUCAUAUUGUUCAUUUGGACCUGAAACCUGAAAAUAUAUUGAUGGAUGCUACUAUGGUGCCAAAAAUAGCGGAUUUUGGUUUGUCGAGGAUUUUUGGUGACAAGCAAUCCCAAAUCAUCACUGAAAAUUGUGUGGGGUCACGUGGAUAUAUGGCACCAGAAUACUUGAUCCAAGGCAUAGUUUCCAUCAAGGCAGAUAUAUUCAGUUUCGGUGUUAUUAUCAUAGAGAUACUCACAGGUUGUAGAGACUAUCCCCUGAGUGUUGUUCCAGACUCCCAGGACUUCAUUGAGAAAGAUAGUCCCAAGAGUACCAACACAUCUUUCCAGCACUUCAAAGCGAAAAUACUUGAUAUUUGGAGGAAUAGAUUGCAGAUAUCAUUGGGGGACACACUGUUGGAACAAAUACGAAUAUGCGCUGAGAUAGGGAUACAGUGCAUUCAAUUUAAACCAGGUAAGAGACCAGUUACACAGCAUAUAAUCGACAUGCUUGAUGAAGUGAAUAUUAUCAACGGGUCCAUCAAACCUGACAUGAGUACUCCGGCAGCAGUGCAGGUUCUUGAGAAUGAGAAAAUAAUGAAGAUUUCCCAGGACAUUGCUUUAAGGAUUGAACAAGUCUUAGAUGGCAUCUCGUUUGAUGAGCCUGGUAUAUCAGACAAAGUACGGGAACAGAUUGAACUGAUACAUAUUCAAUUGAAAAGAGCUAAAGAGCUAUCGGAUUCAUCUGAUGGCGAUCUCUUCAAUGGUCUGAUGUCUGUCUACAAUUCAAGCACCAAUGCUACCGGUUCUGAUCAAGAUAUUCAUCGAGGACUAUCUGAGAAGUUGCAGCUUGUCACCAUAUCUGACCUCAGUGAAGAAUCAUUGGCCUUGCAUGAGAUGUCUAUUCGGGCGGAUCCUGCAGCUGUAGUUGAGAAGAUGUCAAUGCUACUGAAAAAGAUUAAGGACUUUGCUCAGGCUCUAGUCCCAGCAAGUUUAACAGGCACUUCCUCGAAAGAUAACUCGACUUCUGCUGUUAUCCCGGAUGCUUUUCGUUGCCCGAUAUCACUUUGCUUAAUGGAAGACCCGGUUAUGGUCUCCACUGGGCAGACUUAUGAGCGAGCCAGCAUUGCUAAAUGGUUUAAAGCUGGGAACGACACCUGUCCGACGACACAGCAGAAGCUUGUCAACAAAUCACUGACUCCAAAUUAUGCCCUCCAUGGCCUGAUCGUCCAGUGGUGUGAAUUAUACUGUCUGGAGCUGGAGCCACCGAAACGACCUGUUGAAGUCAGUAGUAUUAUUGAGCAUAAUAGAGUUACCGAGCUUCUGCAGAAACUAUCAUCCCAAAAUCUUCUGGACCAACGUGGAGCUGCAGGUACGCUUCGCCAGUUUGCAAGGCGUAACACUGAAAGCUGUGCUCGUAUAGGAGAUUCUGGCGGCAUUCCUGUCCUCAUGGGCCUGUUAUCGACGACUGAUGUUAGCACUCAGGAGCACGUUGUUACUGCUCUCCUGAAUGUCUCUAUUCACGAUGAGAACAAGAUGAGAAUUGUUUCCUCCGGAGCUAUUCCUGGACUUGUAGAAGUACUAGAGAGGUAGCAUGGUGGCUCGGGAAAAUGCAGCCGCCACGCUGUUCAGCCUAUCAGUUGUGGACGAGUGCAAGGUGAUAAUUGGGGCUUCUGGGUCGAUUCCACCUCUGGUACUGAUGUUGAGUACUGGGAGUAAACGAGGUAAAAAGGAUGCAACAGCAGCAUUAUUUAAUCUGUGUAUCUAUCAGGGCAACAAGGGUAAAGCUGUUACAGCUGGGUUGGUUCCUGUACUGCUAGAAUUAUUGAAGGGAGCUCAAGAUGGAAUACCGGAUGAAGCCAUUGCUCUAUUGUCAAUUCUCUCAAUUAAUCCAGAGGAGAAGGCAGCUAUUAUUGCUGGCGAUGCCAUACCAAGCCUGUGUGAAGUCAUAAGAAAUGAAUCCCCAAGGAACAAGGAAAAUGCAGCUAAUAUUCUGGUGCACCUUUGUAGUGGCGAGCAGCACCAACAUCUUGCUGAAGCACAGCAGCAGGGCGUCGUGCCCUCGCUGGUGGAGCUAGCAAGAAGUGGCACAGACAGAGCGAAAAGGAAAGCGAUCCAGCUUCUUGAAUGGAAUAAAGAAAACAAUGGAGUGACAUGAGUGAGGCUAAAUGGGGAGGAUGUGCUUUCUGGGUGAACAGUAAAUUGACAGGAAAUAUUUAAACGUUUUUGAACAUAUAUAAUGAUCAUUCUUCUGCAUGUUUGUAAAUUUUUGUUGAACAAAAAUCAUUCUUUCAUCUUCGCUGGUACCCUUGACGAGAUGAACCUCCCACACACAUGUCUUCAAUGGGCCGGCAUCCCCCUGGCCAGCAUCUGGGGGCAGGAAAACAAUGCUCUAGGAAGGAUCGACCUCCCGGUGAUGUUUGGUGAGGGAGACUGCACGGAACACAUCCACUUCAACGUGGUGAACAUCAUGUAUCAAUACAACAUCAUUCUUGGCCGGGUGUACCUCAACAAGUUAAACAGUACUUCCGUCGAUUUCAAGUUCUCAGCAUUUUGGAUGGGAAACUCAAACAACUACUCAAAUUAUAUGAGGUUUGUCCAGCUUUGUGCAAAGACUGGGGUCUCUAGUCUUUUGUAGUUCCCUUGCGGGAGAUAUGGAUGAACAUCAUGGUGCCAACACCAGAGCUAGCAAUUUUAACUUCGAGUAACCUUUAUACAAUGGAAGUUUGUUGUUGAUUUUAUUUUAUCUACUCUUUUCUGUUUACUAAAUUGAUAGUCAGAUCAUUGUUAUUUCUUUUUAAAAAAAUAGCAUUUCCUACUGGGCUCA